UGACGGUACCUAACUAAGAAGCCCCGGCUAACUACGUGCCAACAGCCGCGGUAAUACGUAGGGGGCAAGCGUUAUCCGGAUUUACUGGGUGUAAAGGGAGCGUAGACGGCGAGGCAAGUCUGAAGUGAAAGCCCGGGGCUCAACUCCGGGACUGCUUUGGAAACUGUUUUGCUAGAGUGCAGGAGAGGUAAGUGGAAUUCCUAGUGUAGCGGUGAAAUGCGUAGAUAUUAGGAGGAACACCAGUGGCGAAGGCGGCUUACUGGACUGUAACUGACGUUGAGGCUCGAAAGCGUGGGGAGCAAACAGGAUUAGAUACCCUG
rnacentral:rRNA from 1 species